UGUUCACCCUGCCCCCUUCAAGCAGCCCGCCUCUCUUUGAACCCUGAGACCCCAGGCCUGAGCAGCCCUAUCGUAUACCACCCCCAUAGUGUUGUUGGCUGACGGAUUGCUCUGGGAUGCUCAGAAAUUGCCACUCGUAUGUUACAUGGGGUAAGGGCCCGGGGAGCCCUGAAACACUGAAUAAUUAUCGUCUCCCUGUCCGUUGCGGAGCAGUGACAUGUCUGCAUGCCUACUCCACAUACCCGUCCGGCAUGUCUGCAUGCCUCACGGACAAGUCUAUGCUGACUGUGCAUUAAUCCAGUAAUCGUCCAAACAAUAUGAAUUCAAAAUAAAAAAUUAAAAAGGAAUAAAAAGGCGAGAGGGCUAAAGUAUCUAAAAAUGGCACCGCACAACGAUAACUGCAACGACGUGGCUCUGUUCAACUUCAACCACGUUUACGGACAUUGUGGCAUCAAUUAUCAAAAACCCUUCUUCUGAGCAGAAACACAGUCAAUCUCUAUGACUUCGGCAGCCCCCAGGUCGGGGCCAGUGGUUGUUGACAUUUGACUUAAUCUAAUAACUCCAUAGUGUAAAACGCAGUCUUUAAAUGGCAAACGCAUGCCUGG
rnacentral:lncRNA from 1 species